AACCUUCACCAAUUAGGUUCAAAUAAGUGGU
rnacentral:misc_RNA from 1 species